rnacentral:rRNA from 1 species
GACAGAGGGUGCGAACGUUGUUCGGAAUUACUGGGCGUAAAGCGCAUGUAGGCGGCAGCGCAAGUCGGGCGUGAAAUCCCACGGCUCAACCGUGGAAGUGCACUCGAAACUGCGCAGCUAGAGUCCUGGAGAGGAAGGUGGAAUGCUUGGUGUAGAGGUGAAAUUCGUAGAUAUCAAGCGGAACACCGGUGGCGAAGGCGCCUUCUGGACAGUGACUGACGCUGAGA